CAACUACUCCCUCCGUUCGGAAUUACUUGUCUCGGAAAUGGAUGUAUCUAGAACUAAAAUAUGUCUAGAUACAUCCAUUUCUGCGACAAGUAAUUCCGAACGGAGGGAGUACUUC
rnacentral:pre_miRNA from 1 species